rnacentral:rRNA from 1 species
AGGAGGGUUAACGCUGGCGGCGUGCCUAACACAUGCAAGUCGAACGAGGUAGCAAUACCUAGUGGCAGACGGGUGAGUAGCGCGUGGUCAACCUACCGUUGAGUGGGGGAUAACUAGCCGAAAGGUUAGCUAAAUACCGCAUACGUCUCCGAGGGGCAUCCCUUGGCGAUAAAAAGGAGCAAUCCGCUCGAUGACGGGACCGCGUCCCAUUAGCUAGUUGGUGGGGUAACGGCCUACCAAGGCGUCGAUGGGUAGCUGGUUUGAGAGAGCGACCAGCCACACUGGGACUGAGAUACGGCCCAGACUCCUACGGGAGGCAGCAGUGAGGAAUUUUCCGCAAUGGGCGAAAGCCUGACGGAGCGACGCCGCGUGUGGGAAGAAGGCCUUCGGGUCGUAAACCACUGUCGAAGGGGAAGAUAAUGACGGUACCCUUGGAGGAAGCCCGGCUAACUACGUGCCAGCAGCCGC